CUUGAGGCUGGUAGGGGCAAGCGGAAUUCCUGGUGUAGCGGUGAAAUGCGCAGAUAUCAGGAGGAACACCGGUGGCGAAGGCGGCUUGCUGGGCCAGUCCUGACGCUGAGGAGCGAAAGCGUGGGGAGCGAACAGGAUUAGAUACCCUGGUAGUCCACGCCGUAAACGUUGGGCGCUGGGUGUGGGGGCUUUCCACGGUUCCCGUGCCGUAGCUAACGCGUUAAGCGCCCCGCCUGGGGAGUACGGCCGCAAGGCUAAAACUCAAAGGAAUUGACGGGGGCCCGCACAAGCGGCGGAGCAUGUUGCUUAAUUCAAUGCAACGCGAAGAACCUUACCAAGGUUUGACAUGCCGGGAAAUCCCGCAGAGACGCGGGGUGCCUUCGGGCGCCUGGCACAGGUGGUGCAUGGCUGUCGUCAGCUCGUGUCGCGAGAUGUUGGGUUAAGUCCCGCAACGAGCGUAACCCCCAUCCUGUGUUGCCAGCACGCCCCUUGUGGGUGGUGGGGACUCAUGGGAGACUGCCGGGGUCAACCCGGAGGAAGGCGGGGAUGACGUCAAGUCAUCAUGCCCCUUAUGCCUUGGGCUGCAAACAUGCUACAAUGGCCGGUACAGAGGGCUGCGAAGUCGUGAGGCGGAGCGAAUCCCUAAAAGCCGGUCUCAGUUCGGAUUGGGGUCUGCAACUCGACCCCAUGAAGUCGGAGUCGCUAGUAAUCGCAGAUCAGCAACGCUGCGGUGAAUACGUUCCCGGGCCUUGUACACACCG
rnacentral:rRNA from 1 species